rnacentral:tRNA from 1 species
CGGAGGUGGCCCAGCCCGGUAAGGCGCAGGAUUGCUAAUCCUGUGACCGUCUGGUCUCGUGGGUUCAAAUCCCACCCUUCG